GCGGUAUGGCUGCAUCGCAUCGGCAGGAAAAACUUCGAUUGUCACCGAGGGAGGCUUUGCGAGAAACACUUCACGAUGGAUCAGUAUGAGCCAGCAAUUCCGGCACAAACUGGGAUCAAGAAACUCAAGCCAAAUGCGGUUCCUUCUAUAUUUGCGCAUCGGCCUCUUCCGAGAGAGCGCAAGCCACCCCGCAAAAGGGGGAAUGAAACGGUUCCUGGUGAGGCCCCUUUGUAGUUUCUAUUCCUCUCUUGUGUUGUGAAUGCGAUUAUGUUUUGGGGUUUAUAUGAAAAUACAGUGUGUUUGGAUCGCUGGCAGAUAGCAUAGUUGCUGCAUUUAUCUUUAUGACCUGUGAACCUGAUUAAUUCGGCAUCCAAUUCUGUCUUACUGUGGCAGCAAACAUCCCCACCCCUACACUGUACUUGCUCAACUCUUGCUUACAGCUGUAUCCUUGGAUGAGCCAGAAACGUCAGUGGGGAGGGCCCCGGACGCUGAACCAGUGGGCAGUUUAUUUUCUGCCUCCUCGGACAACACAGCAACGUCAAUA